ACCCUGCUAGCUCAAUUGGCAGAGCGUGAGACUCUUAUUUACAUUGGGUUGGUGAUCUCAAGGUUGGGGGUUCGAGACCCCCGUGGGGUG